GAUGAACGCUAGCGGCAGGCUUAACACAUGCAAGUCGAGGGGUAGAGGAAGCUUGCUUCCUUGAGACCGGCGCACGGGUGCGUAACGCGCAUGCAAUCUACCUUCAACAGGGGGAUAGCACAGAGAAAUUUGGAUUAAUACCCCAUAGUAUUUUUGCGUGGCAUCAGGUGAUUAUUAAAGUUCAAACGGUUGAAGAUGAGCAUGCGUCCCAUUAGCUAGAUGGUAAGGUAACCGCUUACCAUGGCUCCGAGGGGUAGGGGUCGUGAGAGGGAGAUCCCCCACACUGAUACUCAGACACAGACCAGAUUCCACCGUGAGGCAGCAGUGACGAAUCGUAGUCAAUGAGCGCAAGCCUGAACCAGCCAUGCCGCGUGCAGGAUGAAGCAUCUAUGGUGCGUAAACUGCUUUUGUACGGGAAGAAACACCGGUUCGUGAACCGGCUUGACGGUACCGUAAGAAUAAGGAUCGGCUAACUCCGUGCCAGCCGCCGCAGUAACAC
rnacentral:rRNA from 1 species